rnacentral:lncRNA from 1 species
GAAGUACCAAGGUGGAAGAACACUGUCUGGCUCAAGAUGAAUGCUCACUCUCCUGAACCAUCUGGAUCUGCUAAUUCUUCAGUCUCAGAGUUGAAUCAAGCAAAUAUUUGGAGGUAAUGGAUUUCCUCAGCAAGGGAUCGGGCUAAUUUUAAGAGUGUAGGUGAGUUUCAUCUUGAGCCUUUGAAGAAUGUCUGAAAUCACUAGAGGUUGAGUACAUCACUGAGAGGAGCCCUGUAAAAUAUAUAAAGCCUAG